UUCGUUGCCGAUUUACAUCGUCUGCUUAGAAAGGAGGAUAAAGAAUGAAUUGAUAGAAGAAAAGAUGAAGAAAUGUAAACAAAUCUGCCAUUAGGAUUGAAUUAGAUGCGUUGAAUUUAUAAAAUCUUAUACUGUGAAUUAUAAGUGCCAGUAAACUAUCUUGUGCUUAGGAUUGUGGAAUAUUUGCAUCCAACUGUUCAUCUCGGUGAUCGCCUUAUAUCGUAACUGAAAAGAAAAGAAAUCAUAAUUAAUUGCGGCUUGGAAAGUAUCCGAUACAAAAAGAAACCAGGAUCGAGUAGAAAGGUGUGGUGUGCAAGAGUACAAUAAGACCAAUUAUUUUUGAGCUGCCGCAAAAUCCGGGCUGCUUCGAGAAAUUUGGUUCAAAUCCGAACAUUCUCAAAAAUAAUUGUAAGAGAGUAGGAUAACUCUUAUACUGCCAUGACCACUACUGCACAACUUCUGGACUUCACGGAAACUCCGUGUGCGGCCUGUGAUGAGGUAUCUACCGAGAACGAGAAGAUGAUAGGUUGUGAUGGAUGUGAACAGUGGUUCCACACCCGCUGCGUCGGGAUAACGACCGAAGCAGAGAUAGAGAAAAAAUGGUUCUGUGCGGAUGAUAAGUGCCAACAGACCAAAAAGAAGAGAAGGAGUCGUUCUAAGAAGAACGGCGAUGAGUCGGACCGUUCCAGCGUCAAAUCAGACGUUGCGCUCUCUCUGGAGCAAAAGCUCAAAGGAAUGGAGGAGAAUCAAAAGCGGAUUGAGCAAGAGCUGGAAGCGGAAAUGGCGUUGAAGAAAAAGGAAAUGGAGUUUAAGCGAUCGAUGGAAAGGA